UCCGGAGUUUCUCCGGCAGUCCCCCAUGAGUGCUCGGCACUACCCGGUGGCAACAUAGGGCGGGGGUUGCGCUCGUUGCGGGACUUAACCCAACACCUCACGGCACGAGCUGACGACAGCCAUGCAACACCUGUGUUCCGGUUCCCGAAGGCACCCCCGCAUCUCUGCAGGGUUCCGGACAUGUCAAGGGCAGGUAAGGUUCUUCGCGUUGCAUC
rnacentral:misc_RNA from 1 species